GACGAACGCUGGCGGCGUGCUUAACACAUGCAAGUCGAACGGAAAGGCCCUGCUUGCAGGGUACUCGAGUGGCGAACGGGUGAGUAACACGUGGGUGAUCUGCCCUGCACUUCGGGAUAAGCCUGGGAAACUGGGUCUAAUACCGGAUAGGAGCCAUUUUUAGUGUGAUGGUUGGAAAGUUUUUUCGGUGUAGGAUGAGCUCGCGGCCUAUCAGCUUGUUGGUGGGGUAAUGGCCUACCAAGGCGGCGACGGGUAGCCGGCCUGAGAGGGUGGACGGCCACAUUGGGACUGAGAGACGGCCCAGACUCCUAAGGGAGGCAGAAGUGGGGAAUAUUGCACAAGGGGCGCAAGCCUGAUGCAGCGACGCCGCGUGGGGGAUGACGGCCUUCGGGUUGUAAACUCCUUUCGCUAGGGACGAAGCUUUUUGUGACGGUACCUAGAUAAGAAGCACCGGCUAACUACGUG
rnacentral:rRNA from 1 species